AACCUUUACACUGCACGACAGUGCGAUAGGGGGACUCCGAGUGCGAGGGCAUAGAGCCCUCGCUUUUGUACACCGUAAGGUGGUGUACGAAUAAGAACUGGGCAAGACCGGUGCCAGCCGCCGCGGUAAUACCGGCAGUUCGAGUGAUGGCCGAUUUUAUUGGGCCUAAAGCGUUCGUAGCUGGCCGAUCAAGUCUGUCGGGAAAUCUGCUCGCCUAACGAGCAGGCGUCCGGCGGAAACUGAUCGGCUUGGGACCGGAAGACUCGAGGGGUACGUCCGGGGUAGGAGUGAAAUCCUGUAAUCCUGGACGGACCACCGAUGGCGAAAGCACCUCGAGAGCACGGAUCCGACAGUGAGGAACGAAAGCUGGGGUCUCGAACCGGAUUAGAUACCCGGGUAGUCCCAGCUGUCAACGAUGCCCGCUAGGUAUGGCGCAGGCUACGAGCCUGCGCUGUGCCGUAGGGAAGCCGUGAAGCGAACCGCCUGGGAAGUACGUCUGCAAGGAUGAAACUUAA
rnacentral:rRNA from 1 species